rnacentral:rRNA from 1 species
ACGGGGUGCCAGCAGGCGCGAAACCUUUACACUGCACGCCAGUGAAUAAGGGGAUCCCAAGUGCGUAGGCAUAGAGCCCUACGCUUUUGUCCACCCUAGGGUGUGGACGAAUAAGGGCUGGGCAAGACCGGUGCCAGCCGCCGCGGUAAUACCGGCAGCCCGAGUGAUGGCCGAUCUUAUUGGGCCUAAAGCGUCCGUAGCUGGCCGCACAAGUCCAUCGGGAAAUCCACCUGCUCAACAGGUGGGCGUCCGGUGGAAACUGUGUGGCUUGGGACCGGAAGGCGCGACGGGUACGUCCGGGGUAGGAGUGAAAUCCCGUAAUCCUGGACGGACCGCCGAUGGGAAAGCACGUCGCGAAAACGGAUCCGACAGUGAGGGACGAAAGCUAGGGUCUCGAACCGGAUUAGAUACCCGGGUAGUCCUAGCCGUAAACACUGCCUGCUAGGUGUGGCACCSACUACGAGUGGGUGUGGUGCCGUAGGGAAGCCGCUAAGCAGGCCGCCUGGGAAGUACGUCCGCAAGGAUGAAACUUAAAGGAAUUGGCGGGG